GUGCUCACCUUGGCAGCACAUAUACAAGAAUUGGAACAAUACAGAGAAGAUUAGCAAGUACCCUGUGCAAGGAUGACAUACAAAUUCAUGAAGCAUUCCAUAUUUAA